rnacentral:rRNA from 1 species
CACGGAGUUAGCCGGGGCUUUCUCCUAGGUUACUGUCAGUUUUCAUCACCUAGAACAGAACUUUACGACCCAAAGGCCUUCAUCGUUCACGCGGCGUUGCUGCAUCAGGGUUUCCCCCAUUGUGCAAUAUUCCCCACUGCUGCCUCCCGUAGGAGUUUGGACCGUGUCUCAGUUCCAAUGUGGCCGUUCACCCUCUCAGGUCGGCUACUGAUCGUCGCCUUGGUGAGCCGUUACCUCACCAACUAGCUAAUCAGACGCAGGCCCAUCCCAUACCGAUAAAUCUUUGACCUACCUAGCAUGCACUAGUUAAGUUUCAUAAGGUAUUAAUAUUCGUUCCAAAUGCUAUCCCUUUGUAUGGGGCAGGUUGCCUACGCGUUACUCACCCGUCCGCCGCUUUCCAUUUUAAAUUCAUCCGAAGAAUCUUUUCAAAACUUCUCGCUCGACUUGCAUGUGUUAAGCACGCCGCCAGCGUUCAUCCUGAGCCAGGAUACAAACUCU